AAAAUUUAAAUAUUUAUAACAUAAUUUUAUUUAGAUGCUUAUAUCAAGUUAUUGAUGCAUAUAGUUGUUUUUUAUUUAAAUAAUGAGUUUCUAGAUAGGUAAUUUUUCUGUUUUGUGGUGUUGUGAAAUAGAUUCUAUUACUGUCACAGCACUUGUAUUUUACAAUUUGGAAAUAAUAUGAAGUAUACUGAUGUUGAUGUUUUCUAAUCUUUAGUUAGGUGUGCUUAAAUCUUUUGUGAGGACUAGCUGGUAAUUUUGUAGUUGGGAAUCCAUUGCAAUAAAGGUAAUGUUGAAUAUGAAGGUGUACUUGAACUCACUGAGAUGCAAAGACAAUGAGUUAUUUGCAAUUUAUUUCUAAAUUUCACUUUAUUGUAAUGCUAGAAUGAAGUAUAAGAGAACAGUUGACAAGAAAAAGUAACUUGUACAGAUUGCUUGAAAUUGUUUUAGUGGUGGAGUUAUGACAUUAGAUGCUAUUUUUCUAUUUGUGUUUCAGAAAAUAUAUUGUUAUUAAUAUCUUGAAAACCUUAAAGUGUUUAAGAAUUGUUCAAAUGACUUUGGUUUUUGCACAAUAUUAAAAACACAUGAAGAUAUAAUGUAACAUACUUUUAAGUACAUGCAUAAUUUAAUCAGAAAGAUUAUUUUAUAAAGCAAAACCAGUUUUUUUUAACCUGGCCAAUUUUUUUUUCGACUGAUGCUUCUUACUACACACUGUAAAAAUUGUAUCGGUUAUAUUUCCAUAAAAUUGUGCAAAGUUAAAUUCUCUGGUUAAAAGUUUGAAAUAAUGAAUAGAGGAAUAGGAAAAGACACAGUAAAGGUUUAAUACAUGAAUGUAACUAUUUUUAGAAUCAUUAAACAAAUUUCAAGUACUGUAGCUAUUGAUUAAUUUGCAGACCUUCAUAAAUCUUUAUAUUUUAGUUUAACACAAAGUUGUACAAUUGUAGUGGUAUCAUAUUAAAUGAGUUCUUUCUUUUUUUUCAGAUCAGACUUCAUUGAAAUAUUAUUGUUGUUUUUUCAUUUGCUGUAUUUAACAUGAAGUUGUACAAUUGUUUUAUAUGUAGUGGUAUCAUGUUAAAAGAGUUCUUUCUUUUUUUCAGAUCAGACUUCAUUGAAAUAUUAUUGUUGUUUUUUCAUUUGCUGUAUUUAACAUGAAGUUGUACAAUUGUUUUAUAUGUAGUGAUAUCAUGUUAAAAGAGUUCUUUCUUUUUUCAGAUCAGACUUCAUUGAAAUAUUAUUGUUGUUUUUUCAUUUGCAGUAUUUAACAUGAAGUUUUACAAUUGUUUUAUAUGUAGUGAUAUCAUGUUAAAAGAGUUCUUUCUUUUUUUUCAGAUCAGAUUUGAUUGAAAUAUUGUUUUUUUUUACUGUACUCUCAAUGAAAAAAGAAAUGAAAUAUUAUAGGCCUUAUCAAUAUUUGUAGAAUAUGGAAGAAUAAUUGUGCCAAUUUCCCAAACAGCUAAGCACAAGGUAAGAAGAUGAGAUUGAUUGAUCCACUAUUUGGAAUUAGGCUUUCAUUUCAAGAAAAACCCUCUGUACAGUGUGUAAAAAACAACAACAAACAUCUGGAUAUACAUAGGGUGAAAAGAUAACUUUACCUGUGUGAUAUAUGUUGGAAGACUUCUAGCUAUGAAACAAUCUUUCCUACCACAAAAUAAUUCCUCGAAAGUUUGCUAAGAAUUAAUCUCUCUUAUGUGGGUUUUAUGAGUCAAGCAUUUCUUUAUUACUCCAGUUUUUGUAAGUUUUACCAUGUAUGUAUUUAGAAGAAAUUGUGUGUUUAUCAUUGUUCAUGUAAUGUUUUGUUGCUCGAUCAUAUAUAUGUGUAUACAAUUUGCUGUGUAAAAAAAGUAUUUUUUCAGUGCCAUAUACAUUUUAUGUAAGUAGAUCUGUGGUACUAUCAACAAAUAAUCAAGCAGUUUAGGUUGUGUUUUGUGUGUGAUGUGACAGUGUAAAUUUAGGAAUUUGAUUGUACAUUUCAUUGAAAACUGUUAGUUAAAUUGAUCAAUACUUGAGAGAUUUGAGUUACUUUAGAAAAGGAGUUAUGUGAGAUAAGAAAUGAAAAGCAAAUUAAAGUGGAAAACAAACAAUAAUGCAUUUAAAGUCACACUGUAAACUGAAUUUAGACUAAAUAUAUUUGUGUCCUGUAUUCUCAUGCUUUUUUUUAUUUUUUCAGAACACCUAAUGUGGACAGUUUCACCUAGAGUUUUCCCAGCUUCACAGACUUGUCCUAUUUGUCAUAAAUCCUUCAAAGCAAGACGUUACCUCCAACAGCAUAUGCACAGUCAUGGAAAAAAAUGCAUCAGUGUCCAUCAUGCUUCAUAAAAUUUAAAUGGAGACAAUCUCUUAUCCUUCAUCUUCGAAAAUACUGCAAAAAUCGUCAUCUGGAUAAUGUAUUCAAUGAAUGAGAGUUACCAACCAAGAGCAAGAUUUAAUCUCAACUCAGGACCAGCAAAAUAUCCAUUUCUUUGUACAAUUUGUAGAAAAACUUUCAAAGGAAAGGCUAACUUGCGACUACACAUGGAGCGUCAUAUGGACAAGAUUCAUUGCCCACAGUGCUUUGCCAAAUUUCAGUACAAAAGGAACUUAGCAUAUCAUUUAAGAUACAGUUGUCAUCCAGUGCUGAAGUAGCUGGUUACCAUAACUUCACUGUUUCUGUUUAUGAACGAAGCAAGAUGCACACAUCUAUGGCAUGUUCCCAUUGUGGCCGUUGUUUUGCAACAACUAAAGGUCUAAAACAACACAAAAGUAUGCAUGAAUUAACAGCCCAUCGCUGUCCUAUGUGCCCCAUGGUUUUCAAGUGGAAAAACAACUUGUACCGUCAUACGCGCGUAGCUCAUGCCAUGAGACUUCAAACAAUGAUUGUGGACACCAAGAAUUUUUUGAAACCCUCCAAUGAAUUUUAAACCACCUUCAACUUGAUUAAGUUAUUACUUCUAUGCUUCAUUUUAACAAAUGUGUAUACAUGUACACCAAAAUUAUAUAUAAAUUUUGAAAAAAAAAGGUGUAGUUGUUGGUACAGCUGGCAGAUCAAUGAAUUUGAUAAUCAUUUAAUUCUUGCACUUAUUAAUCAAUUAAUUAAUCAAUCAACUAAUUGAUUAUUCUUACAUUAGAUUUGAAAUUAUCUAAAUAUAUAAUAAUUGGAAAUGUUGAUUAUUUUUCUCAUGAGCUGUGAUAUUAAUUGAUUAAGAAGAACAACUUUGAAUUAAUUACAAAUAAUAAAGAAAAAAUCAUAAUGGCAAUAUUUCAAUAUUACUUGGAUAGUUGAAUAAGUGUAAAAAUAACAAUCGGAAACAGUUUCAAUUAACUGAUUAUUUUCAUGACAUUAAAUGAUUUAAUUGUUAUUUCAGUUAAUUGACUAUUUUAUAUGACACUAAGUGAUGCUAAUAGAUAAUUGUUUAUCUUUAGUUACUAAAUGGAAUUGAAGUUGUAGGAACUCAAAUUGUGAAACUUGGGUUUCUCAUCACAGGAAUUAAGAGAAUUUGAAAUGUUUUCAAACUAUAAAAUUUGAAGAAUUCAAUAGAAUAUAAAUUAUAAACUUUUGAAAAAGGAACUUACUUGUAGGAGAAGUGGCAUGAGUUGAUCUUAUUGUGGUUUACAAAAAACAUUUUUCACACUAGAAGUACGACUGCUGGUAGUAUAAAGUACAAUGAGGCAUGUAGUGUCACAACCAUUGAUGCUUUAACAAAUUUUUGUUGUGGGGGUGAUGAAAACCAUUAAAUAGAAUGAAACGCUUGUAUUAUGAUGGUAACCAUGCACGAGCAGCAUCCCUAGUUCUCGUGCCCUUGGACACAACAAGACAUUUAACACUACAUACUGGAAUUUCCAGCAAGGAAAGUGUGCCAAUUAACAUUUCAACUAUUACAUUAUGUAUUAUGCUUAUAGACAGUUGUUGGUGAGGAUGUGGUCUGAUGUAACUACCUUAUAAUGUUUAAUUACACUUUAUUUUAUAUAUUUCAAGCUUUGAUAUUGUAAACAGUAAUGUGUAAUGGCCUAAUUAUGGAACUGUGCCUUAAUAUCAUAUAAUAAUAUUGUUUACAGGCACAGUGAUUUUCUAGUUAAUAGAAUGGGAAUGAUAUAUAUAUAUACAUAAAUAAGCUGUAUUAUUGAACUUUAAUAUUCCAGCAUGUUUAACAAAGUAAUUCAGGUAACUGAAUUACUGUUACCACUUGAGCUUAAGUUUUAUUACAGUUUGUCUGGCAAAGUAAGUAUCCAGACUGUGAGUUGAAUAUUUUUGUUCUGAUCAGAGUGAUUAUGAUAUUAAUUCUCAUUUUCUUGAAGAAACAUGUUUCAUUUAUUAAUUGUUUAAAAAUGCACUGAUUGCCAAAGGUGUAUUUUCAACUACCAGCUACAUUUAUAUAACAGUAUGUUCAAUUUUGUCUUUCAUAUCUCCAGAAGUGACAUUUUAUACCUUUAUAUGCAAAGCUUUAUUUUACUGACUGUUCUGUUAUGUGAAAUGAAUUGUAGUAUUGUGACAUAUACAGUGGUGUGUUUAAUUGACUUGGCAAAGCUAGUAGUAUAUUCCAUUAAUUAUGUGUUUAAGGAUGUGGGUCAAGUUCACCAUUAUAAGCAUUUUACUGAAAGCAUAUGGAAUUUGGUUUUCUGACUGCAGAAAGAGUUUUUGUUGAUUUUCAUGCAUAUUGAGUUGUGUUUUAUGUACUUUUGAAGUAUUUAGAUAUAUGUAGUAAUUACCACAUGCUUAAAAAUGCACGUUUUGAUUGUUAGAUGUACAGUGAUGUGUUUCAUUCAUUUAUGUGUACAAAGCUGUUUUAUAAUCUCUAAUUACUACAAAAUAAGUAAUCAUAAAUUGUGAAAUUUAUCUUACUCUCGAGUAACGACAAAGAUGUAUUUAUUAUCAGAUAAAAGCAGUUAAAAAGAACAGGAUUGAUAAUGAAAUUGAAAAGUUAUUAAUUUAUGGUUUUAAUUUUAUUGAUCUUUUCAUUUGUAAUGUGUGUAAAUGUUUUUGUAUAAAGAACUAAAACUGGUAAUUCCUUACUUCUUGAUAUUUGUAAAGUGAUGUUCUUACAUUUUUUAUGUUAAGUAAUAGAAUGAAUAAAACUAAAGAAUACCUAACACCCAUUUGUUUUUGUUUAUCUGAAAAGUAAAUAGUAUAAGCAAAGGUUAGACGUUAAAAACAAAACACUUGCUGAUUUUAGAGACUUAUGAUUUCCUUUCUAUGCAGUGUAUAGAAAAUUAGUCUUUUAUUAACAUAACUAGUUUUUAUGAAAGCUAGAUUUUUUGAUUUUUUUUGUAAGUGCUAUUUUUGUUUAAGUUUCAUUACUGCUUCGUUUUUUGUCAUUGUGUGCUUAUUUGUUCUUUUAUCUCUCCUGGACAAACAACUUAUCUGGGUUUUUAUCUGUGUAAUUUGCUUACACCAACUGGUAAGUUUUUUUUUAUAUUCUUUCAAAUUUGGUAUUUUUUUGUUUGUUUUACUAAUACUGAAGAUUUUUCUGAUUUGUUUAAGUGAUCCAGCCAAAUAAAGAUGGGUAACUUUAUCUUUAUAAAAUAUUUUAUAUAUGUAACAAUUUUUUUCCAUACAUUAGUCCUGCUGAUUUUGUUGCAUCUACCCUUGCUCUAACAAGCUACAUUACCAUGAUUCUUAUGUGCAUGUGAUUAGUGGAUAUUGUAGCAAGCUCAGUAAAAUCAUUUAGAAAAGUGUGCCCCUGAAUUUGUUUGCUAGAGACAUUAUGGAUCAUAUUUAACUUGACUCUGUUAUAUACUAGCAAAGCCUAAGUUUCUGAAAGAAUUCUACAGUAUUUCAUAUUCUAAACAGUAGUUAAAGUAAUAUAUUACUGAGUUUACCCCAAAUUGACUUACUAGAAAGCUUGUGGGCUUACAAUGCUAAAAAUCAGGGUUUGAUACACAAGCCUGUACAGCACAGAUAGCACAUUGUAUAGCUUUGUACUUAAACAAAUGUUACUGAGUUUAAGUUUAAACACUGACUGUAUAGGUAUUUUAUUACUGAAAGGUAAUGAGUUUAAAUGUAACUUGUCUGCGAUGGUGUUACUCGCCAGGUGAAAAAUUAAAAACUAAUGCAGCAGGUAAGGAUAAAAAAAACUAUAAUAAGAAAUAAGUUGAAGAAACAGAAAAUAGUUAAUAAAAAAAGAAAGAAGUAUUUCUUAUUUGUUGUCAAGACACAGUGUGCUUCUUCUUUUAGACUAAAAAACUUCAAGUUAUAAUGAAAAUGUAGUGUACAUAAGUAUAAAUAUAAACAGUGAAACCUAUUUAAUAAUUGUGUAAUUAUAUAUAUAUAUAUAUAUAUCAAAAGUGUAUGUCCUCCAGUGGGUAAGCAGUAAACUUACAAUGUUAAAAUACAGGGUUUGAUUCCCUGCAGUGGACAGAAUGCAGAAACCCUAUUGUGUAAGUUUGUGCUAAAACAAACCAGUCAGAGAUGUAUAACACUUGUAUUUAUUAUUCUACUAUUUGUUCACUUUUAACCAACGAUCCAUGAGAAACAUAUUUAGUUGUGAAGCUGUUAUCAAAAAGGAGUAUCUCAGGAAAUUUUUGGCACACUUCCAUCUGUUAUUUCUGUAUAAGAAUGAACAAUUUCAUGAAAUAUAGCUGAUCAUUCACUGUAAUUUCAUAACAUGAGUCCUUAAUUCAGAAUGUUUAAUUGUGAGAUAAAUGAAGUUUUGUUUUACUGUUUAUCUAGCAAAGAUAAUUUAUUAUUUUCAUUUUUUGUACAAUUAAGUAUUUACAUGACCCAAAGAAUAAUCAAAAUAUUCAGUUGUUGAUUUAAAAGUAGUGUUAAUGGCUAAAAAAUUAGUAAAAUCUUACACUAAAGCAGUGAAUUCAUAAGUUUUUUUUUUGCAGAAUGUUUGUUUUCAUUUCAAGAUUCAUAUUACUGGCAUUUAUUUCAUCAUUUUUACAAGUUUGUUAUAACUAUUUGAGAGAAUUAGCUUGAAGAAACAUUAAUUGUUCCAGGCAUUAUUAUGGAAGGAGACUCAUCAGUUAGAAGACUUUUUCCAGAAGUCAGAGGAAAAUCAAGCAUAUUCUGUUCUAUAUGUGGACGGACAUUGUCAUCAAAAGCCUCUCUAGCAACCCACCAGUACUUUCAACACAAGCAGUGGAGGUACUUCCCAUGUCCAUAUUGUAAUCGCUCCUACACCAGAAAAGCACACUUGAAAAGACACCUUGUUCUUUCUCACCAGCAGCAGACAUAAAGUGGUGACUUAGAAGAAUACGAAGGGAUAAACUUUACAUACAUGUAUGCUUACAGUGUACUUAAGCUUUCUACGUUGAACAGUUAAUAGCCCAGAAGUUGGUUAUUGCUGGAUGUAUAAGAUUGUGAUUAUAUACACGGCAUAAGUAUACUAGUAUGUGUUCCACACUGUUGUAAUCUUCCUUCUUACAAGAAUGCAUAAAAUCUAAAAAGUGGAUAAAACUUGUAUGACUGUAACUUAUCAUUAAGUUAUAUUCUAAGUAAUAUUGUUAUAUUUAUGAUGGCUUGUGAGUUAGAUAGUGCAGAUUUUUAUCACGGCUGUAUAUGCUUGAACUCAAUGUGAAUUUUUUUAAUGAUGUUUCUGCAUAUUACAGGUUAAGAUUAUCAGUAUCUGAUAACAGUACAAUAAAGGACCUAUCUGCAUACUUUGUGUCUGAGAAUUAUUCUGAAAGAAAUACUGAUAUUAUUCAUUUUGUGCUUUAUGUGUAAAGAAACUAAAAAAUAAGAGAUGCAGGUGUUGCAAAAUGAUAAUAUCAUUAGAAAUUCUGGUUUGAAAGGAAAUAUAUGUUAAGACGUAGAAAAAGUUUUUUCUUGAACAUUCGGAUGUAGCAUUUCAACUAGAAAUGAUGGAAGAAAUUAGAUUUUUUCUGUUUAGAAAACAUUGACAACAAGAAUUGCAGGAUUUUACAUUUUCAGAGAAAUUUCUGCAUUUAAACUGUUUUUAGAAUGAUACCUAGCAUAUAUAUUUUUUUAAAUGUUGUACACGUAAAAAUAAAUUACAUGAACUAAGUUAAAUAGUGAUUCUUUAUAUCAUAAUCUUAAUUGUCGGAUACAUUAGAACUUAAGGAAAUAUUUUAGCCUUUGGUAAUGUGGUUUUCAGUAUCUUAUGUCUGUGUAGUCUACUGGCUGAGAGUAGAGACAGCUAUGCAGUUAUCCUGUUCUUUAAGAUUAAAUGAGUUGUCAGAAGAGAGUACAUUACUGAAAUAUAACUUGCAUUUAACAGUACUAGUGAACUAACUAGUCACCCAAGUGUACUUACACAUAACAAAGACUUCAUUCACAGCUGUGCUAGAACAUAAAUUCUCUUAUUUAUGUAGAACAGUGCAAAACAAGUAGAAAUUGUCUAGUAAAUUGACUAUGUUCAUGAUUCAAUCAUUAUUAUAUCUGUGCUAGAUACAUGUAUAUGAUUGUUGGAUAUGUAAAAAACAGUCAUACAGACAAUUGUUAAUGAAGUACACCAACUAUAAAAUUAUCACAUUUUUCUUUAUAUUACUUUAUUUUUAAUUUUAUGUUUUUUAGUAAAUUACUCUUAAUGUUUAAUGAUCAUUUAAUGAAACAUCAUAGAAUAGUAGUACACUUUGUACCAAGCUAAGGAUCACACAUGCACACGUUCUACAAAAAAAUUAAUUCAGCUACUGUUUAUUAUAGGAAGUGAAAGUCAACUUGUGGCCUUUUGGGAAAAAUCUCUUGAGAACUCAUGGAGGAAAGACUUAUCUUCAUUCAUCAAACAAAAAACUUGUCCUUUGUGCCUAAAAGUAUUUUCUAACCGAUAUAAUACAAGACGGCAUCUACUGAUGCACAGGCCAGUAAAAAGAACUUUUGGCUGCCCAAAGUGUAGCAAAAUAUUCAACUGGCCAGGAGAUCUGAAAAAACAUCUGAAUAAUCAUGGCCUAAUACAAACUGAAACUUCAAUGUUCUAACUUUUUUUGCAGGCAAGCAGAAGAUUUGGAUUUUUAUUGUGGUUUAUUUAUGAAGUAAUUUAUUUUAAAAAGUUAGAUCUUUUUGAAUUCUUAAUUGUACUAAGUACAUAAUGCAGUUUACCAAAAAAAACUGUACUACAAUAUGGCUUCAAACUGUACAAGUUUUGCAUUUUUUGUGAGAUUUAAUAAAAGAUUAGAAUAGUUCCUUGAGAAAGUAUUUUAAAAUCUCUUGAGCUACAUAAAUCAUGAGCACGUAAACAAUUUAAAUUUUUAACUUAUCUUUUUAAUUUUUUAUGUUUUGUAAAUUGUACUGAUAUUUUGUUGGAUCAAGUGAAGUACUUUCAAGAGGUUCUAGAAUAUCAGUUAGUGCUCGGGUUCUACUGAACAUCAUCAAGUGAAAUGUUUCUGAGGUUAUACUCUGAUUUUUCGUAUAAAAUAUUUGAAAAUAUUUUGAUGGGCAAUUUCAGUUAGGUAAUUGUAUUAAUUAGAAGAAAUAUGCUUUUUAAACAUUAAUUUGCUUCACUAGUUAGUUUAUGUACUUUUUACAAGGUUUUUCUAUUUCUCUUUGAAUUUUCUACAGUGAAUAAAACUUUCAUUGCAAAAAAGUAACAGAACUAAAGAGACUGUUCCUGUUAACCAUGUUGCUCAUGCAGAUUAUAUUGGCAUUAUAACAUGAAAUGAUAUUAAUUUUAUGUUACUGUUUAAUUUCUUAUAAGGUUAUAUGUGUGUACAUAUCAUAUACUGAUUAAGUACAAUGCUGAGGAUUUGAAUAAAAACGUUCUU